AUUGAACGCUGGCGGCAGGCCUAACACAUUCAAGUCGAACGAGUGGCGGACGGGUGAGUAAUGUCUGGGCAACUGCCUGCUGGAUGGGGAUAACUACUGGAAACGGUAGCUAAUACCGCAUACCAUCGGAUGUGCCCAGAUGGGAUUAGCUAGUAGGUGGGGUAAAGGCUCACCAAGGCGACGAUCCCUAUCUGGUCUGAGAGGAUGACCAGCCACACUGGAAAUGAGACACGGUCCAGACGCCGACGGGAGGCAGCAGUGGGGAAUAUUGGACAAUGGGCGCAAGCCUGAUGCAGCCAUGCCGCGUGUGUGAAGAAGGUCUUCGGGUUGUAAAGCACUUUAAGCUGGGAGGCGUUACCCACAGAAUAAGCACCGGCUAACUCCGUGCCAGCAGCCGCGGUAAUUC
rnacentral:rRNA from 1 species